AUUCAGCUGACGAGUCCCAAAUAGGACUUGACGCGCAUCCUGGAU
rfam:Schistosoma rodhaini strain Burundi genome assembly, scaffold: SROB_scaffold0006140